UAUAAAUUUCAAUUAUAAAAAUGUAGCUUUAGUAUUGUAUAGACAAAUUAUACAUAUUGUAGUUAUAGACAUUUUAUACAUAUUGGGAAAAGGAAUCGCACCCAUUGAUGAAACCCCCUCGCCCAAUCUAACUUUACCCACCUAAAUUUUGAGGUAUGAGAAAUGGGAAGAAGGGUAUUUUGAAAUACCAUAUUAUUGCCCUAACGAAAUCGGUAUCAUCCAACACCGAUAGACAAAUCGUUAUGAUCCACCGCCGAUAACUUUCUAUGUAUCGAAUUUAUUGAAGAUUUGGACUGAAUAAAAAUGAUGGGCACAUAAGUAAUCCAAUCGGUUAUUGAAAUGAGGAGCGAAUCAAGUUCUGAACGUCAUAAAGAGAAUUAUAAUUGAACGUAAAAUUAGGAAAAUGGAUGGAGAAGGAUGGUACACGAGUAGAAGACAUAUAGAAAGCAAAGGAAAAAACGUCGAUGUGUUUGGAAUAAAUUUUUGGCUAUUUGGAAGAUUUUUCAAGAAGCAAAUAUUCAAAAUUUGAAAUUUGCUUAAAAAAGUUGUACAAAUUUAAAAAAAAAAUGUUAAAGCAAAAACUUAUCGUUGUAAACUGAAGUAAUAACAUUUGUAGCGCUUGAAAUUUGUUGGA